rfam:Myotis davidii contig229215, whole genome shotgun sequence.
AGGGGUAUUGCUCAAGGGUAGAGCAUUUGACUGCAGAUCAAGAGGUCCCUGGUUCAAAUCCAGGUGCCUCCA